UGUCCAUAUAUCUAUAUGUGUGUGUAUGUCCAUGUGUGUAUAUGAAUAUACAUAUACUAAACACACACACAACAGAGUCAGAAUAAUCAUA
rnacentral:miRNA from 14 species